rnacentral:rRNA from 1 species
UACGGGGGGGGCAAGCGUUGUUCGGAAUUAUUGGGCGUAAAGAGCUCGUAGGCGGUGUGUCACGUGGUUCGUGAAAACCUGCAGCUUAACUGUGGGCGUGCGGUCGAUACGGGCAUCACUGGAGUUCGGCAGGGGAGACUGGAAUUCCUGGUGUAGCGGUGAAAUGCGCAGAUAUCAGGAGGAACACCGGUGGCGAAGGCGGGUCUCUGGGCCGAUACUGACGCUGAGGAGCGAAAGCGUGGGGAGCAAACAGG